UGGGGAAUUUUGGACAAUGGGGGAAACCCUGAUCCAGCCAUCCCGCGUGUGCGAUGAAGGCCUUCGGGUUGUAAAGCACUUUUGGCAGGAAAGAAACGUCGCGGGUUAAUACCCCGCGAAACUGACGGUACCUGCAGAAUAAGCACCGGCUAACUACGUGCCAGCAGCCGCGGUAAUACGUAGGGUGCAAGCGUUAAUCGGAAUUACUGGGCGUAAAGCGUGCGCAGGCGGUUCGGAAAGAAAGAUGUGAAAUCCCGGAGCUUAACUUUGGAACUGCAUUUUUAACUACCGGGCUAGAGUGUGUCAGAGGGAGGUGGAAUUCCGCGUGUAGCAGUGAAAUGCGUAGAUAUGCGGAGGAACACCGAUGGCGAAGGCAGCCUCCUGGGAUAACACUGACGCUCAUGCACGAAAGCGUGGGGAGCAAACAGGAUUAGAUACCCUGGUAGUCCACGCCCUAAACGAUGUCAACUAGCUGUUGGGGCCUUCGGGCCUUGGUAGCGCAGCUAACGCGUGAAGUUGACCGCCUGGGGAGUACGGUCGCAAGAUU
rnacentral:rRNA from 1 species